CUCCUCCCCAGCAGCCGGCACCCGCCUGGCCCAACAGUGACAGAGCAGGGCGCGCAGCCGCUGAGUGCUCUGGAGUCCCUGCCCCGAGGUGCCACGCCCACGUCGGCCUCACCCGGGCAGGCAUGGGGCGGUCGGGCUUAGCGCCGCACCCCGCCGGCCAGAGCCACCGUCUCUCCAGACGCGGCCCCAGCGCCCACUGGGGAUGGCAAAGACGACAUCCGGUGCGCCGAGGCUGCUCACAAAAUCUUCCCACACAGGUUGAGAGAGGAGGGGAUCCAAUUGCCUGUGAGGAGGACACGGCUCCUGGGUGGACCCUGCAGAUUGUGAAGUUCAAGUCACAGCUCCUGGGAAGGUCUCUGUGUGUAAAGAUCGUGGGGGUGAGACAGAUUCAGGGACCACACUCUGCUCUGCUCUGUACCUCUGAGUGUCGAUCCAGCUGCCUUGUGACCAGGACACUUAGAAGAAGCAUGGACCCUGCAAGAGGAUGGGCUCAAGGACAGCUUGCCUGACUGCAGCCAUAAGGAUGAAGCCUCUUCAGUGUACAAAACGCAGCGCCUGCAGGUGUGCUCAGAAGAGGAACUCCGCAGAGUGGAGGUAAGUCUCCGACAUGGGAGAGAGGGAGAGGAUCCCCUCUAGAAACCUGGCCUGGGCUCACAUGAUCCUGUCCUGGUAUGUCCCAGUGUCCAGCAGGAACUUCUUGGGUCCAAGACAAAUCUCCAGCUUCUGGCUCCCUGCUGGGCACUCGGUAGGUGCCUGAUAAAUAUUUGCAGGAUUCUGUAAGAAUCAGAAUUCCAGUUGUGCUAUCUGAGGAGUCCGACAGAAAAGCAGAAGAGGUUAUACCAGUGGAGGGAAGGUGGUCUUGGGGUCUGAACAGUUCGUCCACUGCUGCUCAGGUAGGUGGUUUCACCCAGGGUCAGUUUUGUCUUCUGGAGAUAGGCCAGGUGACCUGACUUCCUUCACCCUGGGGCACCUAUCCCUUCCCUGCAACUGGAGAGCCGGUGUGGUCAGGAGCUGGCUGUCAGCACCCCAACCCCUUUCGCCUUGCCAGCACUUAGGCCUCAGGCCCUGGUUCUUGGCGUGCCUUGUGUCCUCCUUUCCCUGGGGCAACAUGGGCCCAUCACACUGUAGAAAAUGCUGGAUUCUCCCAUAGGUAACCUGUCUACUAGACAAAAUACAGUGACUACCUAUGUCCCAUUCAGAGGAACAAGGACGCCAGGGCUCAGGUGACUCAGGAGUCCUGCAACCAAAUUUGAUUGGUCCCUAAGCCCCAAAGCCUUCAGCCAUAUAGCUUGCUAGCCAUAUACAGAUACUGAUGACCCCCCCAAACACACAGUCAUUCUCUUCCCAACCUCCCUGACAUCCACAUAACCUGGGCAAUGGCCACUCUGUGCAACUGACUCCUACCCCUCCUCCACCUUGGGCUGCUUGUAGGGUGCCAUUACGGCAGUAAGGCGCUCCCUGGGCAUCCAGAUGCUGGUUGUGAGGGGGUGAAUUGAGGGGCAGGCUGGAGGGAGGGGUGAUCUUGGUGGGGUGGGAACUUGGAAGACUUCCAGGCUAAUUUUGCCCACAUUCAAAAGAGGAGCCUUAGAGAGCCUCUUUAGUUCAGCUUCUUCUUCCAGCUAAUAGGAGAGAGUGUGCGUGCUCCAAUUUCGGGGGAGAGGUUCAGAUAAUUUCAAUAAAACCUGGAAAAAGCCAUUGUAAUGCCCACACAGCACAGUCUUAGAGCAGGCAGAGCCCCUGCUGUGAGGCCAGUCUUGGAGAGCCGUGGGCCUCCUGCAGUAGCGCCUCUCUGGAGGAGCGGGGCGAGUAGUUCCGGGAGCAUAGUGGGUAGUUCUCAGGGUCCAGGGCAUGUGCCACCCGGAGUCGCAGCCCCUUCUCCCACUUCUAGCCCAGGGUCCCAGUACUGGGAUUCCCUGACCGAAUGGCACCCAUCCUGCUAUUCCCGGAUUCCAUCUUGCCAAGGGCAGGCCGAGCCUUAGGCCCCAGGAAGCCAAGUGGGGGCACCAUUUGCGGAGGUGGGGGGUGUAGACCGCUCCAGGACUGGCAAGUGGCGUCCACUCUCCAGCUGGGAGAGCCCUCUCCUGGUACCAGAGGGAGCCGAGCUGGGUAGAGACGCAGGACAGGCAGUGGGCCGGGCUUUUCACUUGUCCUCUCCGAUCUUGGGAGCCAG
rnacentral:lncRNA from 10 species